rnacentral:rRNA from 1 species
AUUGAACGCUGGCGGCAGGCCUAACACAUGCAAGUCGAGCGGUAACACAGAGGAGCUUGCUCCUUGGGUGACGAGCGGCGGACGGGUGAGUAAUGCCUGGGGAUCUGCCCGAUAGAGGGGGAUAACUACGGGAAACUGUAGCUAAUACCGCAUAACGCCUACGGGCCAAAGAGGGGGACCUUCGGGCCUCUCGCGUCAGGAUAUGCCCAGGUGGGAUUAGCUGGUUGGUGAGGUAACGGCUCACCAAGGCGACGAUCACUAGCUGGUCUGAGAGGAUGAUCAGCCACCCUGGAACUGAGACACGGUCCAGACUCCUACGGGAGGCAGCAGUGGGGAAUAUUGCACAAUGGGGGAAACCCUGAUGCAGCCAUGCCGCGUGUGUGAAGAAGGCCUUCGGGUUGUAAAGCACUUUCAGCGAGGAGGAAAGGGUGGUGGCUAAUACCUGCCAGCUGUGACGUACUCGCAGAAGAAGCACCGGCUAACUCCGUGCCAGCAGCCGCCGUAACAC